GACGAACGCUGGCGGCGUGCUUAACACAUGCAAGUCGAACGGAAAGGCCCUGCUUUUGUGGGGUGCUCGAGUGGCGAACGGGUGAGUAACACGUGAGUAACCUGCCCUUGACUUUGGGAUAACUUCAGGAAACUGGGGCUAAUACCGGAUAGGAGCUCCUGCUGCAUGGUGGGGGUUGGAAAGUUUCGGCGGUUGGGGAUGGACUCGCGGCUUAUCAGCUUGUUGGUGGGGUAGUGGCUUACCAAGGCUUUGACGGGUAGCCGGCCUGAGAGGGUGACUGGCCACAUUGGGACUGAGAUACGGCCCAGACUCCUACGGGAGGUAGCAGUGGGGAAUAUUGCACAAUGGGCGGAAGCCUGAUGCAGCAACGCCGCGUGCGGGAUGACGGCCUUCGGGUUGUAAACCGCUUUCGCCUGUGACGAAGCGUGAGUGACGGUAAUGGGUAAAGAAGCACCGGCUAACUACGUG
rnacentral:rRNA from 1 species